GUUGACUAACACCAAGUCAGUAGAAAUAGCUAGACCUCUUGUGGUUAAUCUGAAUAAUCAGAAUAACACUGCUACCAGCUUCCGGGGUAAGAAAACCUUGUUUGCCAUGCUUCAGCCCGUGAUUGUGGCCGUUGCUACAUACUUUGGCCUUCUCAGCGUCAGCAUUAUUGUACCCCAAAACAUCCUGUUAGACGCUCUUGUCUUAUUCGCAGCCUAGUACUCCUUGGUGUACGGGGUAUACAAUGUGCUGUCCUACAUCUUCACGAAGUCAGAAGACCAAACACAGGUCAGUGUAAAAGUUGCUGAUCAAGACCAAAAGGAGGUCAUUGUGGAAGUUUCUGAUCAAGACCAAACACAGGUCAGUGUGGAAGUUUCUGAUGAAGACCAAAAUGAGGUCAUUGUGGAAGUUUCUGAUCAAGACCAAACACAGGUCAGUGUGGAAGUUUCUGAUGAAGACCAAUCAGAGGUCAGUGUGGAAGUUUCUGAUGAAGACCAAUCAGAGGUCAGUGUGGAAGUUUCUGAUGAAGACCAAUCAGAGGUCAGCGUGGAAGUUUCUGAUGAAAAGUCAGAGGAGCCUGAGGUAACUGCCGGAUCCGUCAUCCUUAACAGGAAAGAGCUAAAACGGGUGGUUGGGGUGACAGGCGCCGCCUUGUAAUAUACUGAGCACAAAACUUACACCAGCAUUAGGACUGAGAAGUUGAACGAGGAUAUGACGCAACUUAUCGUCGUGGGCCCAAAGGAAGGAGUGAUUGAAGCUGUGGAAAUGAUCAAGAAGUUGGCCAUGAAGAAAGAUAACAUUCCUUGCAAAGUGAUUUGGAAGGAGCCAGAUAAUCUGCCAUCCCUCGAUAUGUGAUCAACAGCCCUCGAAGUGUGCUUCAGCACAUUGUGUAUACGAAAUAUAAGUAUCUGAAUACAAAUACAAACACUCACACACACACACACAUACACAUACACACACUUACACA
rnacentral:lncRNA from 1 species